GCGUGAAUGAUGUAGUGGCAGCACCCGAAGUUCCACGCUGCGGGGCCUGAGUUCGAUUCUCGGUUCACGCA